CCUCUGACAUAAGUAACGAUAAAGCGGGUGAAAAGCCCGCUCGCCGGAAGACCAAGGGUUCCUGUCCAACGUUAAUCGGGGCAGGGUGAGUCGACCCCUAAGGCGAGGCCGAAAGGCGUAGUCGAUGGGAAACAGGUUAAUAUUCCUGUACUUGGUGUUACUGCGAAGGGGGGACGGAGAAGGCUAUGUUGGCCGGGCGACGGUUGUCCCGGUUUAAGCGUGUAGGCUGGUUUUCCAGGCAAAUCCGGAAAAUCAAGGCUGAGGCGUGAUGACGAGGCACUACGGUGCUGAAGCAACAAAUGCCCUGCUUCCAGGAAAAGCCUCUAAGCAUCAGGUAACAUCAAAUCGUACCCCAAACCGACACAGGUGGUCAGGUAGAGAAUACCAAGGCGCUUGAGAGAACUCGGGUGAAGGAACUAGGCAAAAUGGUGCCGUAACUUCGGGAGAAGGCACGCUGAUAUGUAGGUGAGGUCCCUCGCGGAUGGAGCUGAAAUCAGUCGAAGAUACCAGCUGGCUGCAACUGUUUAUUAAAAACACAGCACUGUGCAAACACGAAAGUGGACGUAUACGGUGUGACGCCUCCCCGGUGCCGGAAGGUUAAUUGAUGGGGUUAGCGCAAGCGAAGCUCUUGAUCGAAGCCCCGGUAAACGGCGGCCGUAACAAUAACGGUCCUAAGGUAGCGAAAUUCCUUGUCGGGUAAGUUCCGACCUGCACGAAUGGCGUAAUGAUGGCCAGGCUGUCUCCACCCGAGACUCAGUGAAAUUGAACUCGCUGUGAAGAUGCAGUGUACCCGCGGCAAGACGGAAAGACCCCGUGAACCUUUACUAUAGCUUGACACUGAACAUUGAGCCUUGAUGUGUAGGAUAGGUGGGAGGCUUUGAAGUGUGGACGCCAGUCUGCAUGGAGCCGACCUUGAAAUACCACCCUUUAAUGUUUGAUGUUCUAACGUUGACCCGUAAUCCGGGUUGCGGACAGUGUCUGGUGGGUAGUUUGACUGGGGCGGUCUCCUCCUAAAGAGUAACGGAGGAGCACGAAGGUUGGCUAAUCCUGGUCGGACAUCAGGAGGUUAGUGCAAUGGCAUAAGCCAGCUUGACUGCGAGCGUGACGGCGCGAGCAGGUGCGAAAGCAGGUCAUAGUGAUCCGGUGGUUCUGAAUGGAAGGGCCAUCGCUCAACGGAUAAAAGGUACUCCGGGGAUAACAGGCUGAUACCGCCCAAGAGUUCAUAUCGACGGCGGUGUUUGGCACCUCGAUGUCGGCUCAUCACAUCCUGGAGCUGAAGUAGGUCCCAAGGGUAUGGCUGUUCGCCAUUUAAAGUGGUACGCGAGCUGGGUUUAGAACGUCGUGAGACAGUUCGGUCCCUAUCUGCCGUGGGCGCUGGAGAACUGAGGGGGGCUGCUCCUAGUACGAGAGGACCGGAGUGGACGCAUCACUGGUGUUCGGGUUGUCAUGCCAAUGGCACUGCCCGGUAGCUAAAUGCGGAAGAGAUAAGUGCUGAAAGCAUCUAAGCACGAAGCUUGCCCCGAGAUGAGUUCUCCCUGACUCCUUGAGAGUCCUGAAGGAACGUUGAAGACGACGACGUUGAUAGGCCGGGUGUGUAAGCGCAGCGAUGCGUUGAGCUAACCGGUACUAAUGAACCGUGAGGCUUAACC
rnacentral:rRNA from 1 species